CCUACGGGCGGCAGCAGUGAGGAAUAUUGGUCAAUGGACGAGAGUCUGAACCAGCCAAGUAGCGUGAAGGAUGACUGCCCUAUGGGUUGUAAACUUCUUUUAUAUGGGAAUAAAAUGUUCCACGUGUGGGAUUUUGUAUGUACCAUAUGAAUAAGGAUCGGCUAACUCCGUGCCAGCAGCCGCGGUAAUACGGAGGAUCCGAGCGUUAUCCGGAUUUAUUGGGUUUAAAGGGAGCGUAGGUGGAUUGUUAAGUCAGUUGUGAAAGUUUGCGGCUCAACCGUAAAAUUGCAGUUGAAACUGGCAGUCUUGUGUACAGUAGAGGUGGGCGGAAUUCGUGGUGUAGCGGUGAAAUGCUUAGAUAUCACGAAGAACUCCGAUUGCGAAGGCAGUUCACUGGACUGCAACUGACACUGAGGCUCGAAAGUGUGGGUAUCAAACAGGAUUAGAUACCCCUGUAGUC
rnacentral:rRNA from 1 species